UAGGGAAUCUUCGGCAAUGGGGGGAACCCUGACCGAGCAACGCCGCGUGAGUGAAGAAGGUUUUCGGAUCGUAAAGCCCUGUUGUUAAGGAAGAACGAGUGUGAGAAUGGAAAGUUCAUGCUGUGACGGUACUUAACCAGAAAGGGACGGCUAACUACGUGCCAGCAGCCGCGGUAAUACGUAGGUGGCAAGCGUUGUCCGGAUUUAUUGGGCGUAAAGCGAGCGCAGGCGGUCAAUUAAGUCUGAUGUGAAAGCCCCCGGCUCAACCGGGGAGGGUCAUUGGAAACUGGUUGACUUGAGUGCGGAAGGGGAGGGUGGAAUUCCGUGUGUGGCGGGGAAAUGCGUAGAUAUAUGGAGAAACACCGGUGGCGAAAGCGGCUCUCUGGUCUGUAACUGACGCUGAGGCUCGAAAGCGUGGGGAGCGAACAGG
rnacentral:rRNA from 1 species